UACGUAGGGGCAAGCGUUGUCCGGAUUUAUUGGGCGUAAAGAGCUCGUAGGUGGUUUGUCGCGUUGUUCGUGAAAACUCACAGCUCAACUGUGGGCGUGCGGGCGAUACGGGCAGACUGGAGUACUGCAGGGGAGACUGGAAUUCCUGGUGUAGCGGUGGAAUGCGCAGAUAUCAGGAGGAACACCGGUGGCGAAGGCGGGUCUCUGGGCAGUAACUGACGCUGAGGAGCGAAAGCGUGGGGAGCGAACAGG
rnacentral:rRNA from 1 species